rnacentral:rRNA from 1 species
GACGAACGCUGGCGGCGUGCUUAACACAUGCAAGUCGAGCGGAAAGGCCUCUUCGGGGGUACUCGAGCGGCGAACGGGUGAGUAACACGUGAGUAACCUGCCCUCAACUUCGGGAUAAGCCUGGGAAACUGGGUCUAAUACCGGAUAUGACUACUUCGGGCAUCCGAUGGUGGUGGAAAGUUUUUCGGUUGGGGAUGGGCUCGCGGCCUAUCAGCUUGUUGGUGGGGUAGUGGCCUACCAAGGCGACGACGGGUAGCCGGCCUGAGAGGGCGACCGGCCACACUGGGACUGAGACACGGCCCAGACUCCUACGGGAGGCAGCAGUGGGGAAUAUUGCGCAAUGGACGAAAGUCUGACGCAGCGACGCCGCGU